rnacentral:rRNA from 1 species
GUGCAGCAGUCGCGAAAACUCCGCAAUGCGCGAAAGCGUGACGGGGCUACCCCGAGUGCCGUCCGCUGAGGAUGGCUUUUCCCCGGUGUAAUGAGCCGGGGGAAUAAGGAGAGGGCAAGCCUGGUGUCAGCCGCCGCGGUAAUACCAGCUCUCCGAGUGGUAGGGAUGAUUAUUGGGCUUAAAGCGUCCGUAGCCGGCUCGACAAGUCUUCCGUUAAAUCCAGCGACCUAAUCGUUGGACUGCGGAGGAUACUGUUGGGCUAGGGGGCGGGAGAGGCCGACGGUAUUCCCGGGGUAGGGGUGAAAUCCUAUAAUCCCGGGAGGACCACCAGUGGCGAAGGCUGUCGGCUAGAACGCGCUCGACGGUGAGGGACGAAAGCUGGGGGAGCGAACCGGAUUAGAUACCCGGGUAGUCC